rnacentral:lncRNA from 1 species
CCUCAUAGACUUACUUAUUCAAGAGCUCCUUAAUGAUAAAUUUCCCCGUAUGUUGCUCAUCGUCCCAUUUCACUUUGUGAAAUUUUUUUUAUCUCGCGGAGCAGUAGGCGGCCACGAAAGGGAGAGACCUCCCCUCUUCUCCGCUCCUCCUCUCCUCGCCGUCGCCUGUCUCGUGUUCGUGGGACUGCAGCCGGAUAGCCCUGGCUCCAGGCCUAAGUUCUUCAACCAUAGGAUGGCCCGACCUUAUACCAUCCUGGCCCGAGACUCCGUAGAACCCUAGCGGCUAGGGCAAGCAUAAAAUCCCAGUCGAACGGAGCAGGGAGGUCACCGGUCGACGGCGAGGUAGCGUGACGCCCAGAGAGAGAGAGAGAGAGACGGCGGGCGGUGGUGGCGGAGGUGGAGGAUGACGGUUGUAGAGGAGAACGGGCGGCGACGGCAGGUUGACGGUGAGACCGGGGAUGCGGUCGACUCACGUAUGGCUGUCCGCAUGUAAAACUUCUAUGCGGAUUUAUGUUCGCAUAGAAACGUUAUGAGUUCGCUCGGAGAUGUCCGCACAUUAGUUUCUAAGCGGAAAUGAUCCGCAUACUAUGUUUACGCGCGAGCUUGCAUAUUAUUG